rnacentral:rRNA from 1 species
UACGUAGGGGGCAAGCGUUGUUCGGAAUUACUGGGCGUAAAGGGCGCGUAGGCGGCACAGCAAGUCGGGAGUGAAAGCCCGGGGCUCAACCCCGGAAUGGCUUUCGAAACUGCUGAGCUAGAGUACAGAAGGGGCAACCGGAAUUCCCAGUGUAGCGGUGAAAUGCGUAGAUAUUGGGAAGAACACCUGAGGCGAAGGCGGGUUGCUGGGCUGAUACUGACGCUGAGGCGCGGAAAGCCAGGGGAGGCAAACGGG